rnacentral:rRNA from 1 species
UACGAAGGGGGCUAGCGUUGCUCGGAAUCACUGGGCGUAAAGCGCACGUAGGCGGAUCUUUAAGUCAGGGGUGAAAUCCUGGAGCUCAACUCCAGAACUGCCUUUGAUACUGGGGAUCUCGAGUCCGGGAGAGGUGAGUGGAACUGCGAGUGUAGAGGUGAAAUUCGUAGAUAUUCGCAAGAACACCAGUGGCGAAGGCGGCUCACUGGCCCGGUACUGACGCUG